AAUGUUAUUGUAUAUAAUGGUAGAGUAUAAUUAAUUAGGAUAAUUCAUUAGAAGAAUAAGUAAUACUGUUCAAUCAGUAUAUUAUCA
rnacentral:tRNA from 1 species